GAGCAUGAUUCUCUGCAAAAAGGAUUCACAGUUGCUUACACUUGAUUCAUAGCUAUUCAGGGAAAAGACUUAAUUUUUAGGACUGGAGCAAGGAAUAUACUGGAAGAACCUACAGAAUCAUGUAGUAGAAGGAAGAAGGAAAUACUUAAAAGGAUGGGAGCCUGUCUAGGGGACACAGAGCCUAAGCUGAAACAAGAAGAGUAACAUCAUAACCCAAAGGAUGAAAUAAAUAUCCAUGAGCUCAUAAAUAAUAACAAUGUUUAAAAAUAAGGAAAUAGAAAUGAGGCAAAUCUCCCAUAUUAAAUUGCAGCACCUCCCUCCCUCCCUCCCAGAAUGGAAAUUAGCUCCUAACUCCUUAAGUAGGCGUUUCCAAAGAGUAUGAUAAGAGAGAAGUAGCUUUACAGUGAAGAAACUUUACACACAACCAAGUGAUUUAGGUUAAUUAAAUUUAACAUGACAGGAAGGACAUUUCAUCUGUGGCCAUUUUCUCAAGAACCCCAUAACCUGAGCCUUCACCAUGGUAGAUGUCAGACAAACUCGGUUCCAAGAACAUUCUGUGAAAUACUCAUAAGAAUGAAGGUUGUUAGAGCAGUUAAUGAAAUGUAAAUAAAAUAUGAAUCUCACUAGCAGUAAAAAGUUGGUGUUGAUUCUUCAAUUACAAAAAGGUACUGUAGUGGUACUAGGUGUUGCCAAAAAGGAAAACUGGAUGAGUGAGAUAUUGUCUGUUUUAAAAUACAAUAUUGAUUGACAGCAGUGGGGUUAAGUAAAGAGGAUACCUGAGUGGCCAUUGAUAUUCUGGCUGUAGGCAGUUAUAUUCCUUCUGGAUUAGUUAACUGCAUGUUCAUGGGAUCCUUGUGAGAGCUGACCAAGUAUAGUCCUGUCCCCUGAGCAUGAAACAGUCACC